ACUUAAUUAUCAAAAGCGGGAAAUAGUCGGGCAGGCUUCGCUCCGCCUGUUGUUUACAUGCAAAUGGCGAAGGUAGCGUCGAUCGAGAAUCGUUAUUUCUUUUCCCACUAACUUUGGCCUCUAUGAAAGACUUUUCAACGAGAUAAUCAGUUCGCCACCUUGCUACCUCUACAGAACAACCUGAAUCAAGAAAGCAGAUGGUAAUAGAUGCCAUCUUGGAACGCACCGCACCUAACCAAACAUACAAAAUCAAGCAUACGUCAUUAUUAAAUAUCCUCAACAAGACUGUAGGGUGAAACAGAGCGAGGCGAGUGUUUGUCGUC